UACACUCCUGCCCUCGUCCCCAUUAGCAUCAGACCCAUAUCAACUUGAGCAAACCAGAAAUUUCACAGAGGUGUAAAGCUGGCAGAGGUGAUGUUCUAGCAAGUGCCUUUUAUCUUACAAGUGCCUAAUAAAUAUUACAUUUUCAUAAUUUGGCUUUUUAAAUCAGAAAUUAUCUUUCAUUCCCUCACAUGGCUUAUUUUAGAAGACUUCCCAUGGUCAUGUCUGUGUCAAUGUCACUGAACCAUUGCAAGCAGGUAAGUAACUUUUCACAGGGACCUUGUCUG
rnacentral:lncRNA from 1 species